rnacentral:lncRNA from 1 species
CCUGUGCUCAGGGCACGGAACACAGGCGGCCUCCAGCCCUGGAGCAUUAAAUUAAAGAUGUAGGCAGUCUGCUGGAAACUAUUAAAGUUAUCUCAGAUGCUUUUCCCUUGGAAAUAAGGAGACGCUUCUGGUUUUGAUUUUUACGUAGCCGGAUUGGUGGGUUUGUGCACAGAAGAGGGCCUGGGCUGCGGUUUCUACCUUCUUCCGUUUGCUCUCCAUUCCCCCUUUUUUUUUAAGAGCGUAGGAAAGGGGCAAAAAGGAAGAGCCUUUGGGAGAGGAUGACAAACAAAUUGAAGAGUUCAGGAAAAGUGAAACCAUCAAGGGUAUGGCAGCGGUGGGAUUCGAACCCACGCCAUCGAAAUGACUGGAGCCUAAAUCCAGCGCCUUAGACCACUCGGCCACGCUACCGCCCGUCACAGCCCUUUCCACUGCAACUAUAUUAGUUUAAUGACGUAGCGUCUCAUGCUCCGUGGCCCCACCCUCUUGGGUUUGCGCAUGCCCAAUAUGAGCCAAGUGUUCCUGCGCUUGUUAAGGUGUCUUGGUCCGUGGCUCCCUUCUGCGUCUUGGAAUCAUAGUACUUUUUUGAUUGGCACCAAAAACUGCGGUCGGAACGCAGCACUAAAAGGGAAAGAAGAGUUCCCAGCUGUUAAACAUUAAUAUGCAGUCCUCACGUGUGUGUGCGUUGGAUUUGCCGUGCGCGUCGUAUACUGUCUGCAGCCACGUGGGGGCGGUACCGCGCUGUCCCUUCCUCCCUUUCGGGGCUGGGGGUCCCGCGGGGAGCAUUGCUCUGUACAGAACCCGGCUGGGACCCCAUCUUACGGACUCGCCAUCCCUACUCCAGGUCAGCUCUGCAAGCCCUAGGUGGCCCCAUGGUCCCUGCCACCGCGAGGAUUGCUGGGAGAAUCAGACUCAUUCAUUCUGCAGAUAUUCCUUGAGCACCUGCAGGAGGUCAGGCACUCUUCUGGGCAGUUGGCUACACUGGAAUGAAGCGGAGGAAGAUUGAACGUGGUAAUGUAUGUCAUGCACUUAAAAGAUUUUUAUUAUUUAUUUGACAGAGAAAGAGAGCAUGAGCAGGGGUGAGGGGCAAGGGGAGAGGGAGAAGCAGGUUCCCCCCUGAGCAGGGAGCUGGAUGUGGGACUUGAUCCUAGGACCCUGGACCAUGACCUGAGCCAAAGGAAGAUGCUUAACCCACUGAGCCACCCAGGUGCACUCUGUGUCAUGCACCUGGGAUGUGGUAGUGGUGACUCCAGGGACCUAAGCUCUCCUCGCA